AGUAAAAGCAGCUGUCAAUCACGUGUCAUGUUUGGAGGUGAAGAUGGCGACUAAUGAUGUUUUCCUCAUCACUAAUUCAUGACCUCUGACCUUCUCGGAGACCCCACUGCUCUCCACAGGAUCCCCAAUCUGCUCCAAGCUUGUCAAUCUGCUGCUUAGUUUCUACUAAAACUGUCAUUUGUAAAUGUUUUUGUUCUCUAUUGCCGCCAUUUAUUGUACUUUUCUUCCUGCGACUUAACUUUGUCACUUGUUUGUGUUGCCUUCAGGUGUCCUUCGUAAAGUCUGGAAUAUUACAAAUGAUUUCACAUAUUUGACCGUUGGCAUUGUGUCAAAAUGUGUACAUUUUGUUCAGGACCUCUAAAAAUGUGGACAAUUUCUGUUAUUUUACGGUAACUAAACAUAUUUUUGUCUCGAGAUUAUACAUUUGAGUGCAUUUAAUUUGCUACGAUUCCAACAUUUGUGAAAAUAACCCUUCUUUGUGUAAGUGAUUACGAAACGGUUUUGCGUGUUUUUCAAUCAGACAAAUUGUGCUGUUUUCAUGAAUGAACAUUUUAAUGAUGUUUUGUUGCUCGACAUAUUGUUGAACCUUAAGAAAAUGACUUUCCAAAAUAAAAGCGAGAUGACCUGUGGUCCCUGAACGCCUCACGCCUGGAGCGGGAGGGUUUGGGGGCGUGGCCAGUUAGCGGACCUGAUGUGGGACUUUUCCUCCUCAGCAGAUUUCAUCACCAACACGCAGACAAGUCUUCUUUAUUGUUGUUGUUUAUUGUUGUUGUUUAUUGUUGCGACACAGGAACAAUUAGCCGCCAUGUCGCUUCUUCAUCCGACGGAGAGACAGCUCAGGCAGGCGAGGCAGGUGAGACAACCUCCCCCCUGGAAGGACGAACUGGCCGACAUGUCCCAGCACAUUUACGAUGAUGGAAGCAACAAGGUGGGUGGAGCGACGUACUUGAGAAGGAGUCGACUGAAAAGAUCUGACGGCAGCACCACGUCCACCAGUUUCAUCCUCAGACAAGGUUCUGCAGACUCCUACAUGAGCCGACCCUCGGACUUGGAGGUGUCUGUGGAGGAGGACCAGGAGGACCAGGAGGACCAGGAGGACCAGAGGCAGCAGGCCGCCCUCCAACUGGAGAGGGCAAAGACCAAAGCCGUGGCCUUCGCCGUCAGGACAAACAUCAGCUACUGUGGCGCUCUUGACGAGGACGUCCCUGUGGGCGGGACCGCCGUCUCCUUUGAUGCCAAGGACUUCCUCCACAUCAAAGAGAAGUACAACAAGGAGUGGUGGAUGGGGCGUCAGGUGAAGGAAGGAAGUGAGGUGGGCUUCAUUCCAAGUCCUCUCAAGCUGGAGAACAUGCGAGUGCAGCAGGAGCAGAAGAGAGGGAACUCCUCCUCCAGUCUGGGAGACAUGGUGUCAGCUCCCUUUAAGAGCAAUGCCAGCAAUGCAGGGAAGCACAAACUCAAAAUGGCUGAGCAGGGGCCCCCCUAUGACGUGGUCCCCUCCAUGAGGCCGGUGGUCCUGGUGGGUCCGUCCCUGAAAGGUUACGAGGUGACGGACAUGAUGCAGAAGGCGCUCUUCGACUUCCUCAAGCACAGGUUUGAUGGCAGGGUCUCCAUCACCCGGGUGACGGCCGACAUAUCGCUGGCCAAGAGGUCGCUGCUCAACAACCCAGGGAAGCGGUCCGUCAUUGAGAGGUCCACUGUCAGCUGCAGCCUUGCCGAGGUGCAGAGCGAGAUCGAGCGCAUCUUUGAGCUGGCCCGCUCCCUGCAGCUGGUGGUUCUGGACGCCGACACCAUCAACCACCCGGCUCAGCUCCUCAAGACCUCCCUGGCGCCCAUCAUCAUCCACGUCAAAGUGUCCUCGCCCAAGGUCCUGCAGCGUCUGAUCAAGUCUCGAGGAAAGUCUCAAAGCAAACACCUGAACGUGCAGCUGGUGGCGGCCGAGAAGCUUUCCCAGUGUCCGUCGGAAAUGUUUGACAUCAUCCUGGACGAGAACCAGCUGGAGGACGCCUGCGAGCAUCUGGCCGAGUACUUGGAGGCGUACUGGAGGGCCACGCACGCCUCGCCCGGGGCUGCGCCCAACCCCCUGCUGGGGCGCAACCUGGGCUCCACCGCGCUCUCGCCGUAUCCCGCCGUCUUCCAGGCCCAAAGGAACCAGCACAGCAACCGUUCAACCGGAGAACUGGCCCAGGUGGAUCAUGGCGGCCUGAUGCCGGCGGACCAGAACUUCCACAACGAGCGGACGAGGAGCAACCGCCUGUCAUCCGGCUCGCAGCACAGCCAAGACCACCUGCCUCUGAUGGAGGAGGACCCUUACCAGGACUCGUACAGGCCUCAUCGGAAUCAGGACUGCAGACACAGGCUGUGAUGCUAACUUGGACUCUAUGGACCGUGACCAACAAGGGUCUUGUCCAUGUGGACUGCGACCAACAUGGACUGUGACCAACAAAGGUCUUGUCCAUGUGGUCCGUGACCAACAAGGGUCUUGUCCAUGUGGACCGUGACCAACAUGGACUGUGACCAACAAGGAUCUUGUCCAUGUGGACCGUGACCAACAUGGACCGUGACCAACAAGGGUCUUGUCCAUGUUGAUCGUGACCAACAAGGGUCUUGUCCAUGUUGACCGCGACCAACAUGGGUCUUGUCCAUGUGGACCGCGACCAACAUGGACCGUGACCAACAAGGAUCUUGUCCAUGUGGACCGUGACCAACAUGGACUGUGACCAACAAGGGUCUUGUCCAUGUGGACCGUGACCAACAUGGACCGUGACCAACAAGGGUCUUGUCCAUGUUGACCGCGACCAACAUGGGUGUUGUCCAUGUGGACCGCGACCAACAUGGACCGUGACCAACAAGGGUCUUGUCCAUGUGGUUCGUGACCAACAAGGGUCUUGUCCAUGUAGACCGCAACCAACAUUGGUCUUGUCCAUGUGGACCGUGACCAACAAGAGUCUUGUCCAUGUGGACCGCAACCAACGUGGGUCUUGUCCAUGUGGACCGCGACCAACAUGGGCUGUGACCAACAAGGGUCUUGACCAUGUGGACUGUGACCAACAUGGACCGUGACCAACAAGGGUCUUGUCCAUGUUGACCGCGACCAACAUGGGUCUUGUCCAUGUGGACCGCGACCAACAUGGACCGUGACCAACAAGGGUCUUGUCCAUGUGGACCGCGACCAACAAGAAGGGUCUUGUCCAUGUGGACUGCGACCAACAAGAAGGGUCUUGUCCAUGUGGACCGCGACCAACAUGGGUCUUGUCCAUGUCCCCCAGUGAAGGUAGCACACGUUUGAACCAGGAACUGCAAGCGCUCCACACGGCAACGUGUUGGCCUUCUGGGAACCUGCAGAACCGUAGCAUGUUGACCAGACCAGAACCAGUUUGCCUUUGUCCAGGACUCCGUAGAACCCACACGACCUAAAAACUCUUCCUUAUUGGUCCAACAUGGCGUCAGUCCUCUUAACGCCUCUCAGGACUCCAUUGUUGUCUUCAGGACCAGCAGAACCUCAUCCAGAUCUUUCAGUCCUGCUACAUCCUAGACCUGAGUGAUGUUUCCCACCUGCUCCAAACCUCACUAACCAGUCCCAAUAGUUUGGUUCUGCAAACAUUUGUCUUUUAGGUUAUUAACGUUUUAUGUUUUGGGUGGGUGGGUUUAAUGAGGAUUAAUAACAUGUUAAUUACACCUUAAUAACAUCAAACGUUGAUAAAACGAUAAUAGUUAGACCAAAAAUGUUUGCAGCACAAAUGUAGCUCCAACAAAUAGAAGAAGUUUGGGAGUUUGGAGGAUUCUGCUUGAAAUGUUGACAAUGCUGUUUAUUUUGUGGGUAAAAGUUUGCAAUGUAAAGCUGAAAAAUGGCCUUCAACGCUAAUAUUAGCAUUUUCAUAACAAGCACAGCAGCAAUUAGUAUUUGUGUUAUUAUUUACUGAGGUACAGUACAGUUGGAUUAGUUUAUGCCUCUUCUCUCACAGAAUGUGUGAAGAAUGGCGUUUCCUCCAUGUGAAGCCCUGAUAAGUCCAACAGAGGAACAGAUGAUGCAGUAUUAUAUGCUGCCUGGUGGUUGUUCAAGCACAAUGCAGCUAGUCCACUCCUUAAUGAUUGAGUCACACGCAGGAUUCUCACAGGUAUGAGGCAAAAACUACUAUUGAAAAAAACCCAAAUAUCAGUAAAGUUAUCUAUUUUGGACCACAUCGUAGAAAAUAAAACAUUAAAAAGACAAUACUAGAACAUCGAAAAAGUAUAAUCCUACUCAUUUCACAAUAAAGUCAUAAUGUAUGAACAAUAUGUUCAUCAUUUUAGGAGAAUAAAGUCAUUUUUAGAACCACAGGACAAUACAUUCGUUCGGCAAGAAUAAAGUUGUAAUACUAAGGAAAAAAGUCAUAAUUGAAUGAGAAUGAAGUCGUCCACUACUAGAAAAACGAGGUUCAAAUUAAGUUAAAAAACAUAAUUUUCGGAAAAUAAAGUGUUAAAAUAUAACAAGAUUGAAAUUCC